rnacentral:rRNA from 1 species
UACGUAGGGUGCAAGCGUUAAUCGGAAUUACUGGGCGUAAAGCGUGCGCAGGCGGCUUUGCAAGACAGAUGUGAAAUCCCCGGGCUUAACCUGGGAACUGCAUUUGUGACUGCAAGGCUAGAGUACGGUAGAGGGGGAUGGAAUUCCGCGUGUAGCAGUGAAAUGCGUAGAUAUGCGGAGGAACACCGAUGGCGAAGGCAAUCCUCUGGACCUGUACUGACGCUCAUGCACGAAAGCGUGGGGAGCAAACAGG